GGAGGUGAGCCACAGCGCAGGGGCCCCACCCGUUCCCAUCCCGAACACGGCCGUUAAGCCCUGCCGCGCCAAUGGUACUGCCACAAGGCGGAAGCGUAGGUCCUCGCCUCCU
rnacentral:rRNA from 1 species